UACGUAGGGUGCGAGCGUUAAUCGGAAUUACUGGGCGUAAAGUGUGCGCAGGCGGCUCCGCAAGUCGAGUGUGAAAUCCCCGAGCUUAACUUGGGAAUUGCGCUCGAAACUACGGAGCUGGAGUGUGGCAGAGGAAGGUGGAAUUCCACGUGUAGCGGUGAAAUGCGUAGAUAUGUGGAGGAACACCGAUGGCGAAGGCGGCUACCUGGCCCACUCUUGACGCUGAGGCGCGAAAGCUAGGGGAGCAAACGGG
rnacentral:rRNA from 1 species